GACGUAGGGCGCGAGCGUUGUCCGGAAUUCUUGGGCGUAAAGAGCUCGUAGGCGGCUCGGUAAGUCCGGGUGUGAAACCCCCAGGCUCCAACCUGGGGACGCCACCCGAUACUGCUGUGGCGUAGAGUCCAGUAGGGGAGUGUGGAAUUCCCGGUGUAGCGGUGAAAUGCGCAGAUAUCGGGGAGGAACACCCAGCGGCGAAGGCGGCACUCUGGGCUGGAACUGACGCUGAGGAGACGAAAGCGUGGGUAGCAAACAGG
rnacentral:rRNA from 1 species